rnacentral:rRNA from 1 species
UGGGGAAUAUUGCACAAUGGGCGAAAGCCUGAUGCAGCAACGCCGCGUGAGGGAUGACGGCCUUCGGGUUGUAAACCUCUUUUAGUAGGGAAGAAGCGAAAGUGACGGUACCUGCAGAAAAAGCACCGGCUAACUACGUGCCAGCAGCCGCGGUAAUACGUAGGGUGCAAGCGUUGUCCGGAAUUAUUGGGCGUAAAGAGCUCGUAGGCGGUUUGUCGCGUCUGCUGUGAAAGCCCGAGGCUCAACCUCGGGUCUGCAGUGGGUACGGGCAGACUAGAGUGUGGUAGGGGAGAUUGGAAUUCCUGGUGUAGCGGUGGAAUGCGCAGAUAUCAGGAGGAACACCGAUGGCGAAGGCAGAUCUCUGGGCCAUUACUGACGCUGAGGAGCGAAAGCAUGGGGAGCGAACA